rnacentral:misc_RNA from 1 species
AACGCACAUUGCGCCCGCCAGUAUUCUGGCGGGCAUACCUGUUCGAGCGUCAUUUCAACCAUCAAGCCCCGGGCUUGUGUUGGGGACCUGCGGCUGCCGCAGGCCCUGAAAUGCAGUGGCGGGCUCGCUGUCACUCCGAGCGUAGUAGUUACAUCUCGCUCUGGGCGUGCUGCGGGUUCCGGCCGUUAAAAGCCUUAUUUACCCAAGGUUGACCUCGGAUCAGGUAGGAAGACCCGCUGAACUUAA